rnacentral:rRNA from 1 species
GUCUAAGUAUAAGCAACUAUACGGUGAAACUGCGAAUGGCUCAUUAAAUCAGUUAUCGUUUAUUUGAUAGUACCUCACUACAUGGAUAACCGUGGUAAUUCUAGAGCUAAUACAUGCUAAAAACCUCGACUUCGGAAGGGGUGUAUUUAUUAGAUAAAAAACCAAUGCCCUUCGGGGCUCCUUGGUGAAUCAUAAUAACUUAACGAAUCGCAUGGCCUUGCGCCGGCGAUGGUUCAUUCAAAUUUCUGCCCUAUCAACUUUCGAUGGUAGGAUAGUGGCCUACCAUGGUAUCAACGGGUAACGGGGAAUUAGGGUUCGACUCCGGAGAGGGAGCCUGAGAAACGGCUACCACAUCCAAGGAAGGCAGCAGGCGCGCAAAUUACCCAAUCCCGACACGGGGAGGUAGUGACAAUAAAUACUGAUACAGGGCUCUUUUGGGUCUUGUAAUUGGAAUGAGUACAAUUUAAAUCCCUUAACGAGGAACAAUUGGAGGGCAAGUCUGGUGCCAGCAGCCGCGGUAAUUCCAGCUCCAAUAGCGUAUAUUAAAGUUGUUGCAGUUAAAAAGCUCGUAGUUGAACCUUGGGCCUGGCUGGCCGGUCCGCCUCACCGCGUGUACUGGUCCGGCCGGGCCUUUCCUUCUGGGGAACCUCAUGCCCUUCACUGGGCGUGUUGGGGAACCAGGACUUUUACUUUGAAAAAAUUAGAGUGUUCAAAGCAGGCCUUUGCUCGAAUACAUUAGCAUGGAAUAAUAGAAUAGGACGUGUGGUUCUAUUUUGUUGGUUUCUAGGACCGCCGUAAUGAUUAAUAGGGAUAGUCGGGGGCAUCAGUAUUCAAUCGUCAGAGGUGAAAUUCUUGGAUUGAUUGAAGACUAACUACUGCGAAAGCAUUUGCCAAGGAUGUUUUCAUUAAUCAGUGAACGAAAGUUAGGGGAUCGAAGACGAUCAGAUACCGUCGUAGUCUUAACCAUAAACUAUGCCGACUAGGGAUCGGACGGUGUUAGUAUUUUGACCCGUUCGGCACCUUACGAGAAAUCAAAGUUUUUGGGUUCUGGGGGGAGUAUGUCGCAAG